CCGUAUCUGAAAGAUAGGGAUACUCAUCAAAUAAUUUAGAAAACACGAGAUGAUUUCUCCUGCCAAUGGCGGGCCACAAUAAGUCGGAAACGACAAAGCCUUAAGGCCGGUGGAUUACAAAGGCGGAGAGUCACUCAAACCUUAUUCGUUAAGGAGUUUUCAUCAUCUUCGGGUACGGUCUCUU
rnacentral:sRNA from 1 species